CAUUCAGCAAAACCUCAUACAUAGAAAAAAAGAAAGUCACACAGGUCUGGAAAGACAUGAAGUGAGUUGCAAUCCAAAAAGACUUAACAAAGCGCCCUGAAAAGAGUUGGAUGUUGCAUAAGGAUAAAUGAGACGGCAGAGAAGGAAAGCCAAAUACAGGAACACAACAGAGGGGGAUAUAUUAUCAAAGCAUGUGUUGACUUAAAAAAGAAAGAGAGAGUGAUUUCAACACAGGAA